rnacentral:rRNA from 1 species
GAUUAGCUAGUUGGUGGGGUAAAAGCCUACCAAGGCGACGAUCAGUAGCUGGUCUGAGAGGAUGAUCAGCCACACUGGGACUGAGACACGGCCCAGACUCCUACGGGAGGCAGCAGUGAGGAAUAUUGGACAAUGGGCGAAAGCCUGAUCCAGCCAUGCCGCGUGAGUGAUGAAGGCCCUAGGGUUGUAAAGCUCUUUCAGUGGGGAAGAUAAUGACGGUACCCACAGAAGAAGCCCCGGCUAACUUCGUGCCAGCAGCCGCGGUAAUACGAAGGGGGCUAGCGUUGUUCGGAAUUACUGGGCGUAAAGCGCGCGUAGGCGGAUUGUUAAGUUGGGGGUGAAAUCCCGAGGCUCAACCUCGGAACUGCCUUCAAUACUGGCAAUCUUGAGUCCGGAAGAGGUGAGUGGAACUCCUAGUGUACAGGUGAAAUUCGUAGAUAUUAGGAAGAACACCA